rnacentral:hammerhead_ribozyme from 1 species
ACCCAGCCGACGAGUCCCAAAUAGGACGAAACGCGUGUCUUUGAU